rnacentral:ribozyme from 1 species
GGGGCCCGAGCCCAGCGCAGCCAAAAAAAAAACAUUCACAAAAUAAAAGAAGGUAAAAAACA